rnacentral:tRNA from 1 species
GUGGGGAUAGCUCAGUGGUAGGCACAUGCUUAGCAAGCACAAGGUCCUGGGUUCAAUUCCCUGUACCUCCA